GCCUGCUUGGCUUAGGGGUAGAGCGUUGCUCUCGUAAAGCAAAGGUCGAGUGUUCGAUUCACUCAGUAGGCA